rnacentral:rRNA from 2 species
AAAUUGAAGAGUUUGAUCAUGGCUCAGAUUGAACGCUGGCGGCAGGCCUAACACAUGCAAGUCGAGCGGAAACGAGUUAUCUGAACCUUCGGGGGACGAUAACGGCGUCGAGCGGCGGACGGGUGAGUAAUGCCUAGGAAAUUGCCCUGAUGUGGGGGAUAACCAUUGGAAACGAUGGCUAAUACCGCAUGAUGCCUACGGGCCAAAGAGGGGGACCUUCGGGCCUCUCG